rnacentral:lncRNA from 1 species
GCAGUCCAAGACAGAGAAGCCCAUAGAAGAAAAGCUCAAGAUGCAAAGAGCCCACAAAAAUACUGCCCAGCAGGGCUUGCAACGUGCUACCUAGUGGGGCCUGCAGCAGGCGGCCCAGGCCACUACUGUGCAUGCGGCCUAUCCAUGCAUGAGCUGUGUAGAGCAGUCCAUCAUGGACUGCAUGGGAUGUCGCAGUGGG